GAUUUUAUCAAAGUCAGCGUUACCCUGUAAUGUCAGUUUGUCUUGAAUUAACAUUGUUGUUUUUUUGUUGUUAUUUUUGUUGCAGAAAUUAAAUCGGUCAAAAUUACUGGUUGAUUUCACUUGGUGUUGCAAGCAUGCAUGCAGAUGUUUUCAGUUAUGUAGCAUUCUCCACUCCAGCUGCUGAGUGGACAAAGUUUUGUAUCCGUUUUUAUUUUAUUUACUUUUCUUUUACCAGGAAAUGUGUCCCUUUAUUUAGCUUUGUGAUCUGAUCAGAUGUCCAGGGCAUUAUGUGAUCCCCCAUUGAUUUGUUGUCAUGAAAAUUCAGCAUUCUUAACACAAAACAAGACAAACCAAGUAGAGUUCACAUUGACCAUGCAGACAAACAGGGUCAUACUUUAUAUCAAACACAAGUCAAGAGAAGCAGAAACAUUGCUAGGGUUAAAUUUUUGUCUUAACUCAAGAGAGGCCUGAGGCUUAUUGCACCUAUGAGGAGCAACAUGGGUAAAAGCCAUGUUUCCAAGUCUAAAAAGCUAUGGUAAAGAAAAAUAUUAUCACACCUAACCAAUGCAGGACUUUUGUGUCAGUCAAGCAUGGCUGCCUGAUUAUUACCACAAUCUUUGCUAACUCGAUCACAAUUCUGUCCCAACAUUUUAGACCCCUGUCAUCCAUCGGUGAAGAAAUAAAUUAAAUCAUCCUCAAGACUUUUCCCAAAAUGUCAAAGAAUACUCGGCAAAAGAUUGCCUCUGCACUUGAAAGAGCAGGUGUGAAAACGAUAUUAGACCUCCGGGAUGUGGAGAGGGACGACAUCAAAGACCUCUUGCCUGGGGGGCAUUUACAAAGUUUGCUGAUGACAACAUCACCAUUGGACGUUGGAUGAUCAUCUGUGAAGGCGUCUAGCCAAGCUUCAUCACAGGGCUCGCUGCAGUUUUCGCCACCUACUACGUGUUCAACCUGCAGUACCAAGAGGAAGCUGCAAAGACACUGGAGUUUGUUCAAAGGCACUUAAUUCGUAACCGAAACAGUGGAACAAAGGCCAGCCAGGGGGUGGUGGUGGCCAAGAAGUCAGGGAAGCUGGCCCAGAAAAAGGCUGCCAUCAUGAAUCCCCAAGUGGCUUCCCUCAUAAAAAAUCUCCACAACUUUGACUGAGGCUUAUGUAAACCUCCACACAGGACCUCAUGUUCACAGAGGAAGAGCCCACACUACAACCACAUGUUUAUGCUUUAAGUCUCAGCAUUUGUUCUGUUUGUCUCUGUGGUGCAUUUUACUAUUACUCAUUUAAUUAUUUGUUUUUCAUUCAAUCAAUGUGUAAGUUACUGAAUGUGAUUGAUGCAGUGGCUUUCCUGAAUCUUCUGUUAGAGAAAAGGGAAGUGAGUUCAGGUACCAUAGACUAGGACGAGGUUUUGAUAGCCGGGCAUCACAAGACUCAUUUGCAAAUGUGUAUUACUAUUAUUGUUUUGAAGGUUUUUACUUUGCUGUUAGUGUGUGAGUUGUGGAUUCUGGAUGUGUUUGAUACUACAUUCCCUUCUAAUAAAGGCCAAAAUAAUGUUGUAAGGCCAUCUCGUGACCAAGUCAUUUCUAUCGUCGCAAUUUUCAAGGGUUUUCAUUUUGAAAUGUCAAAUUUUCAUAUAAUUUUACAGUGUAACGAUAAAGAUCACAUUCAAUACUUUAAUGCAUUUACAGUAUGGUGCGCCGUCCACUUUCCAGAAUGUUUACUUUAUAAAUUCUCUUUGAGACGGCAUGCUACACUAUGACUUGUUUUUACAUUUUGGGCAACAUACUAUGAUAUGACUUUUUUAUGCUAUUUUUAAUGCUACACUAUUCUGCCCUACAAAGUCUAACAAAGAAAACUGCUUUAAAGUUUUUUAACGUUUUUUUAACUGGCCAGCCAAAUGGGUUAUAGGUAGACAAGUGAUAUGACACUUAUUUCUACAUGUAUUGAUGAUGUCAUUUUUAUGCUCAAAAAUCAUGAUGAUUUAUUUGACCUUUGACCCCAAAAACGUAGUUACUGCAUUGCUGUAAAAGAUUCUAAUAGUAAUCACAAACAAAGUGCAGUAACAACAAUGUUGUUGUCUUCUUUCAGCUUUUAUAUUUUGUUUUCAGUGAAUAAACAUUUUCAAAUUGAUUUUGUUAUCAGUGUAUUUAAAAGUGUUUAACAACUCUAUUCAAAGUUUUGACAGAUUAGAUUUGCGUAUUUUAGACUCAUUAUGAAGUAAUGUUAUAUUUUAGUCUUAAUAUAAUUUUAUCUCACUUUUUUACUUUAUCACUGUCUAGAUCAUGGGUCUCAAACUUGCGGCCCGCGGGCCAAUUGCGGCCCUUGUGACGAUAUUUUGUGGCCCUCACCUUGAUAUGAAAGUUUAAUGUUAAUUGUUUUUAAUGUUUUAUAUGAAUGGCACUUUAAUGUGUUGGGUGUGGAAGGUCCCUUUAAUUACUUUUUUUGGUAAUUUUGUGUCUUUUUUUAAGUAAUUUAGUUUUUUGUGUAAUUUUGUGUCUUUUUCUGUCAUUAUGUGUCUUUUUUUAAAUAAUUGUGUCUUUUUUCAUAAUUCUGUGUAUUUUUUUGUCAUUUUGUGUCUUUUUUGUCAUUUUGUGUCUUUUUUAAGUAAUUUAGUGUUUUUUCAGUCAUUUUGUGUCUUUUUUGUAUGUUUGUGUCUUUUUUAGUAAUUGUGUGUCUCAUAUCAUUUAACAGUGUAAUGAUAAAGAUCACAUUCAAUACUUUAAUGCAUUUACAGUAUGGUGCGCCGUCCACUUUCCAGAAUGUUUACUUUAUAAAUUGUCUUUGAGACGGCAUGCUACACUAUGUGUACAUUUUGUUUCACAUUUUGGGCAACAUACUAUAAUGUGACUUUUUUAUGCUAUUUUUAAUGCUACUCUAUUCUGCCCUACAAAGUCUAACUGCAGUAACUAUGCAAAAGGUAAAAUUGAGGAAAACUGCUUUAAAGGUUUUUAACGUUUUUUUAACUGGCCAGCCAAUUGGGUUAUAGGUAGAUAAGUGAUAUGACACUUAUUUCUACAAGUAUUGAUGAUGUCAUUUUUAUGCUCAAAAAUGAAGAUUUAUUUGGCAUU